rnacentral:rRNA from 1 species
UACGAAGGGGGCUAGCGUUGCUCGGAAUCACUGGGCGUAAAGGGUGCGUAGGCGGGUCUUUAAGUCAGGGGUGAAAUCCUGGAGCUCAACUCCAGAACUGCCUUUGAUACUGAAGAUCUUGAGUUCGGGAGAGGUGAGUGGAACUGCGAGUGUAGAGGUGAAAUUCGUAGAUAUUGCCAAGAACACCAGUGGCGAAGGCGGCUCACUGGCCCGAUACUGACGCUGAGGCACGAAAGCGUGGGGAGCAAACAGGG